UUUCCGUAGGUGAACCUGCGGAAGGAUCAUUAUUGUAUAACCGAGGUGCGAGGGCUGUCGCUGACCCGAAAGGUCGUGCACGCCCGAGUGCCCUCACACACAUCCCUCUCACCCCUAUGUGCACCACCGCGUGGGUCCCCCUUUGGCUUGUUCGGAGGGGGGCUUACGUUUUCACACAUACUUUGUAUGCAGUGUAGAAUGUAUUUUUUGUUUUUGCGAUCACGCAAUCAAUACAACUUUCAACAACGGAUCUCUUGGCUCUC
rnacentral:misc_RNA from 1 species